rnacentral:rRNA from 1 species
GGGGAAUUUUCCGCAAUGGGCGAAAGCCUGACGGAGCAACGCCGCGUGAGGGAUGAAGGCCUCUGGGCUGUAAACCUCUUUUCUCAAGGAAGAAGAUCUGACGGUACUUGAGGAAUAAGCCACGGCUAAUUCCGUGCCAGCAGCCGCGGUAAUACGGGAGUGGCAAGCGUUAUCCGGAAUUAUUGGGCGUAAAGCGUCCGCAGGCGGCUUUGUAAGUCUGCUGUUAAAGCGUGGAGCUUAACUCCAUCAAGGCAGUGGAAACUACAAGGCUUGAGUAUGGUAGGGGCAGAGGGAAUUCCCGGUGUAGCGGUGAAAUGCGUAGAUAUCGGGAAGAACACCAGUGGCGAAGGCGCUCUGCUGGGCCAUAACUGACGCUCAUGGACGAAAGCCAGGGGAGCGAAAGGGAUUAGAUACCCCUGUAGUC